CCUACGGGAGGCAGCAGUGAGGAAUAUUGGUCAAUGGGCGGAAGCCUGAACCAGCCAAGUCGCGUGAGGGAUUAAGGCCCUAUGGGUCGUAAACCUCUUUUGUCAGGGAGCAAGGUCGUCCACGUGUGGGCGUAUGGAGAGUACCUGAAGAAAAAGCAUCGGCUAACUCCGUGCCAGCAGCCGCGGUAAUACGGAGGAUGCGAGCGUUAUCCGGAUUUAUUGGGUUUAAAGGGUGCGUAGGCGGAAUGCCAAGUCAGCGGUAAAAUCGCGGGGCUCAACCUCGCUCCGCCGUUGAAACUGGCGUUCUUGAGUGGGCGAGAAGUAUGCGGAAUGCGUGGUGUAGCGGUGAAAUGCAUAGAUAUCACGCAGAACUCCGAUUGCGAAGGCAGCAUACCGGCGCCCAACUGACGCUGAAGCACGAAAGCGUGGGUAUCGAACAGGAUUAGAUACCCUUGUAGUC
rnacentral:rRNA from 1 species